UAUAUUGCACAAUGGGCGCAAGCCUGAUGCAGCGACGCCGCGUGAGGGAUGACGGCCUUCGGGUUGUAAACCUCUUUCAGCAGGGACGAAGCGCAAGUGACGGUACCUGCAGAAGAAGCACCGGCCAACUACGUGCCAGCAGCCGCGGUAAU
rnacentral:rRNA from 1 species